GGCAGCACCAGCGCCUUGGAGAGCUGUGUGGUGGCUGAGCUCCAUAGGCGGGGCAUGCUGGUACCCAGGCGCUCUGUGGGAGUCUGCUCUGAACUCCAGCCACACUGCCUUCUACUUGGUGGUCAGACACUCAAAAGCAGAAGCCUGGAGGAGAUGAUUGAGUGCCCCAGGGUCGGACAGGGGUAAGUGACGGUAACCCUCACCUUCUGACUCCAGGGCCCACCCAUGAUCUCCUACACCUCCAUAAGCCGCCCGUGGUCCUACAGACGGGAAAAGGUAAUAGAGGUGGUGUUUGGAAAUGCUGGCCAGCACCCCGGGUCUCACUGUCCUUCUCGUGGUCAGCCUGCUCACUGAACUUCCCAUCAUCGGAGGCAGGGUUCACUCGCUGGUCUGAGCCCACUGUAGGAGUAAAGAAAAUAAAAAGCA